rnacentral:snRNA from 1 species
AUUGCUUGUCAGCCUUUUGGCUAAGAUCCAGUGUGGUGUCUGUUCAUAUUAGUUUAAUAGGUUUAUACAUCCUCAUGAAAGAGGAGCUGACACCUAAAGUAAAACCCUGAGUUAGAGUGGGAACAGAGAAUUUUGAGUGGAUAUUUUAUUAUUUUUGGGGGUGGUAAUACUGUUUCCAGUCCUCUUAUCAGGUGUGCAACUUUAUAUACUUUGUGAAAACAAUU